CGACACUAGUGAACAACCCGCCCCAGUAAUCCAAGUUUUGGAACACCAGUCGAAUGUUUAACAGCAAUGAACUGCGUACCUGUGAGGUUGCUCACGGAAGUUGUGUAUUUAGGAGGGGUUUACAAGAUAAUUCCACUAGGAAAAAAAGGCAAAAAGGCUUGGGGAUCCACCUCUUCAAAGCCCUCACUCUCUCUAAAACCCCCUCGCCUGUCUCCACCUCCUCCAUACCCUGUGUACUGCAACUAUCUCCAGAUCACCACAAAUUGCAAUCGGCUCCACCAUUAAUGGCCACUCCAAAACCCUAAAAUUAAACUAUGCACCACUGGUGUGCCCCAGCUGCCUUCCUUGGAGCCAGGGCUGAGGUAUGCCUUUCAUCUCUCAGAUUAUUCCCUAACCCAAAUCCACCUCCAUGGCUUGCAGCAAAUCAAUUGGUGCACAGGCUCCUUGGAACCCUCCCAAUGCAUCUGGUUUUGGAGCCUUUUCAGUUGAAUUAGUGGUUUUUCAAUGCUCUUGGCUACAAUAAAUUCUCUCUUUAAUUUUUCAAAAAUUUGAUCUCCAUUUGACUUGCUUUUAGAUGUAGUGAUUCACUGUUCUUGUAUCUUGGCCUGAGAAAUACCAUUUUCAUUGCAGGAUAGAGAUUGGGGUUGAAAUUUAUCCUUUUGGUCGUAUGGCUGGUUCACACAAGGCUUCCUUACUGGGGUUUGAGAAAGAGAAAUAGCAGGCCCUUAGUUUCUGAUGCGGUGGGACCCAAAUGUUGCUGUUCUUUGUGUAUGGAUUCCUGAAAUUUCAAAGGAUUGAAAGGACUAUGCCUUUAGCUCAACAAGAAAUUAUUGGACGCAUUCCAUAUGAAACCCAGCCAUACAAUUUACCUCUCUUUGCAGACAUUGCACCCUCAACGUUUUAGGUACUGUAUUUUUAUUGCUUCUCCGUGCUUCUACAACUGCAUUUUUAUUUGGUGGAAACAGUGACAACUCUGGGACUAUUAAAAACUAGGUUACUUUGGUGUAAUCAAAUUUGCUUGCUUAGUGUAAAAGUGGGUAUGAUAAUGCAAUACGUUUAGCGUAAUUUGGGUCGUGCA